rnacentral:rRNA from 1 species
ACACGUGGGUGGCGAGCGUUAUUCGGAUUUACUGGGCGUAAAGGGUCCGCAGGGGGCCUGCCACGCCCGCCGUGAAAUUUCAGGGCUCAACCCUGAACCUGCGGCGGGUACGGGCGGGCUGGAGUGCAGGAUGGGCAGACGGAAUUCCAGGUGUAGCGGUGGAAUGCGUAGAUAUCUGGAAGAACACCGAUGGCGAAGGCGGUCUGCUGGCCUGCAACUGACCCUCAGGGACGAGAGCGUGGGUAGCAAACAGGAUUAGAUACCCUGGUAGUCCACGCCGUAAACGUUGUGUGCCAGAUGUGGGUGGGUUCGGCCCCAUCCGCGUCCAAGCUAACGCGAUCAGCUCACCGCCUGGGGACUACGGCCGCAAGGCUAAA